rnacentral:lncRNA from 1 species
UCAUACUGUAUUUCUUACUACAUUUUUUCUGUAUGAAUUUACUUCUUCCACUUCAAAGGACAAAACUCGGGUCUUCUUGUAUUUAAUUACCGUUCACUAUGAACGCAUGAAGACCACUGUCGUUUCUGCUUUCUAGUUCACUGUAAUUAAAUAGGGGCAGCUGUCAUACCCCAAUUUUGUCCGGGCAUUUUAAAGUUUUGGUCAAG